rnacentral:rRNA from 1 species
UUAAACUGAAGAGUUUGAUCAUGGCUCAGAUUGAACGCUGGCGGCAGGCCUAACACAUGCAAGUCGAGCGGUAACAGAUCCAGCUUGCUGGAUGCU